AAUGCUUUGCAAAAAAAGACCAAAACAUAUAUAAAUUUACGUUUAGUCUCUUUGGAAAUAAUUUUCAAAUAAAACAAUAAAAAAUUGAUAAGUCAAACUCGGAUUUGACAUCGAGUACUCGGAGUCAAACCGAGUUCUGACCGAUUUCUUAAUAAAUCGGUUUUGAACCCGAUUACUCGGAACUCGGCAGAAAAUGAACUCAGCGAAUACUACAAAAGCAAACGAAAUUAACGAAACAAAAGCACUGAACUCGGAAACAGACUCAGUGAUAACUAAACAGAACACGAAACGAGACACAAACUCAGAUUUACACCUCCACAAACGAAGGGAAAACAGCUAAAACUCAACUCAAACCACACUAAAACUAAGCUAUACAGGGGUGAGAACAACUCAGCAAACCCAGCAGCACAACCUCGACAAAACAGGACAAGCAAGCGACUCGAAAAUGAACUCAGAAAACGCAACAAAUUCCAGCAAAUUAAUAGCCUACUCAGUGCUAGACUGGAACUACAAACAUAAAAUGACACCACAACAACUCAGCAAACAACCAUAACUCGGAAACCAGAACUCAACACACUCAGCAACUGACUCGGAAAAAAUGGUUACUCGACUCAGUUGAACCCAGCAACGAAAACGCAAAUAAAAGAGGAGAAAAAAAAGAGCAAUAAAAAGAAACAGGGGAAGGGGUUUGUAUAUAUUAAUUAAGAAAAGCAGAUCGUUUAGUAAAAUAAACGAAACAAGGGAGUUGAUUUUUAAUUUUAACACUUGCACUUAGGUUAAUAAAG
rnacentral:lncRNA from 1 species